UAACAGGUCUGUCCAGUGUCAUUACCUAC
rnacentral:piRNA from 1 species